GUUUUGUUUUGUUUUCAGACCGAAAAAUUCGUUUGGACCGACGGCUCCAAUUGGAACUACGCUUACUGGGUCCCGGGACAGCCAGACAACACGGCGAACGCAGAGGACUGUGUGGAGAUGAACUGGAGCAACACCGGCAAGUGGAACGAUGACAAAUGCAGCGGCAAUAAAGCUUACAUCUGCGGGUUCAAAGACAGAGCCGCGAUGUGAGCGCCAGACCAACCCCGAGUCACCAUGGCAACGCAGCCCCGCUUCCACGUCUGGAAUGGAUACCCUCCCUGUGAAGGAGCGCUGACCAUCUUUAAAAUCCAUUCUCUCACCUCUUAUUAGCUUUAUUAACAUGAUCACCGGCCCCUCCCUUUAAAGGAGCGCUGACCAUCUUUAAAAUCCAUUCUCUCACCUCUUAUUAGCUUUAUUAACAUGAUCACCGGCCCCUCCCUUUAAAGGAGCGCUGACCAUCUUUAAAAUCCAUUCUCUCACCUCUUAUUAGCUUUAUUAACAUGAUCACCGGCCCCUCCCUUUAAAGGAGCGCUGACCAUCUUUAAAAUCCAUUCUCUCACCUCUUAUUAGCUUUAUUAACAUGAUCACCGGCCCCUCCCUUUAAAGGAGCGCUGACCAUCUUUAAAAUCCAUUCUCUCACCUCUUAUUAGCUUUAUUAACAUGAUCACCGGCCCCUCCCUUUAAAGGAGCGCUGACCAUCUUUAAAAUCCAUUCUCUCACCUCUUAUUAGCUUUAUUAACAGGAUCACCGGCCCCUCCCUUUAAAGGAGCGCUGACCAUCUUUAAAAUCCAUUCUCUCACCUCUUAUUAGCUUUAUUAACAGGAUCACUGUGUUUUUUAAAGUAAUAGUCUAUAACAUAUUGUAUUAUUUUUUCACACUGUACGCGCUGUUUCCACGGCUUUGCUUUACUGAAAUAAACUGCUUUUAAAGCAUCAUUCAAAA